ensembl:misc_RNA 7SK 7SK RNA
CGGUGUGAGGACACUCUGGCUGCCACAUCUGUCAUCCCAUUGAUCACCAGGGUUGAUUCAGCUGAUCUGGCUGGCUAGGUGGGUGUCCCCUUCCUCCCUCACCACUCCAUGUGCGUCCAUCCUGAAGCUGCACGCUUGGUUGAAGAGGAUGACCAUCCCCGCUAUAGGAGUACUGGUCUUUGAUCAAGGGUGUACAAGUAGCUACAUUCCCCUGCUAGAACAUCCAAACAAGCUCUCAAGAAACACAUUUCCCGUAUCAGACUGCGUGGGCUUGAUACUCAAAUCCAUCUACUGACUCCAACUUUGUAGCAAUGU